rnacentral:rRNA from 1 species
UUGAUCAUGGCUCAGGAUGAACGCUAGCGGCAGGCUUAAUACAUGCAAGUCGAGGGGCAGCAGCUUUAUAGCAAUAUAGAGGCUGGCGACCGGCAAACGGGUGCGGAACACGUACACAACCUUCCUUUAAGUGGGGGAUAGCCCAUAGAAAUGUGGAUUAAUACCCCGUAAUAUUAUUGAAGUGGCAUCACUUUAUAAUUAUAGUUUCGACGCUUGAAGAUGGGUGUGCGGCUGAUUAGGUAGUUGGCGGGGUAAAGGCCCACCAAGCCUUCGAUCAGUAGCUGAUGUGAGAGCAUGAUCAGCCACACGGGCACUGAGACACGGGCCCGACUCCUACGGGAGGCAGCAGUAAGGAAUAUUGGUCAAUGGACGCAAGUCUGAACCAGCCAUGCCGCGUGAAGGAUGAAGGUCCUCUGGAUUGUAAACUUCUUUUUAUAGGGGGCGAAAAAAGGGAAUUCUUUCUCACUUGACAGUACCCUAUGAAUAAACACCGGCUAACUCCGUGCCAGCAGCCGCGGUAAUACGGAGGUGCAAGCGUUAUCCGGAU